GUAAAGUUCUGUCCAGUUAGAAUCCGGAACCAAUUAUUCUUAAGUUUGCUUUUAUGGACAAAUUUGCCAAAAACUGAUGAUUUGGCAAGGGAUAUGCAGCUGCGGGGCAAAGGCCAAAGUGUUCGUGACGAAUAAGACAAUG